rnacentral:rRNA from 1 species
CCUGAUGAUCAUAGCGAGUUAACUCAGUAGUGAAACGGCUCAGCGCCGAUGGUAGUAUGGGGUCUCCCCAUGUGAGAGUAGGUCGUUGUCAGGU